AUACAUGAAAUAACAUGGAACUCGCAAAAUAGCCCAAAACACCUUCCGCAACUGGACAGCCCACGUUGAUUCUCGACCCAACAAAAACUAAACCCAUACACUUCAAGCUAGGGUUUCACUAUAUAUUAUCACAAUACCUCCUUUCACAUCUUUCCUCUUAAAACUUCUCCUCUUUUCCUUUCUUUUCGUCGUUCUCCAUCGAUUAGGGUUUUGCGGUUGCAGUUUUUUUUUCUUCCGAUCAUCAUGAGAGCCAAGUGGAAGAAGAAGCGUAUGAGGAGGUUGAAGAGGAAGCGCCGAAAGAUGAGACAGAGAUCCAAGUAGAAGCACACCUGAACUGUUAUGGUGGCUUUUAGUUUUCCGUCGUUUUAUUUUUCAUCUUAUUUCGUCGAUCUAUUAGCUAUUUUUGUAGCUAUUUUGACUGAUUUAGGUACUCAGUUUAAUAUCAUAUUAUGUAUUGGUACUUUUUGUUGAACAUGAUAUCUUCAGUAAUUUAACUGGAAUAUUUACAUAA